rnacentral:misc_RNA from 1 species
AAGAGUGUAAAAACUCCCAAACCCAUGUGAACUUACCACUGUUGCCUCGGUGGGCUACCCGGUAGCUACUCGUAGCCGCCUCGGUCGCCUGCCGACGGACUUCGAAACUCUUUUGAAUAUUGAUUCUCUGAGUACAACUUUUAAUAAGUAA